AACGAACGCUGGCGGCAUGCCUAACACAUGCAAGUCGAACGAAGCCUUCGGGCCUAGUGGCGCACGGGUGCGUAACGCGUGGGAAACUUCCCCUCGCUUCGUCAUCUCAGCUAGAAAUGACUGCUAAUACCGGACCAAGUCUGCGGACCAACGCUUCAUCGGAAAGGGCUGAGCCCGCGUAGGAAAAGGUAGCUGGGGGGGUAAAGGCAUACCAAGCCGACGAUCCUUAGCUGGUCUGAGAGGAUGGUCAGCCACACGGGGACUGAGACACGGCCCAAACCCAUACGGGAGGAAGGAGGGGGGGAUGGUGGAAGAUAGGCACAAGUUGGAGCCCACAAUCCGGGGUGAGUGAUGAGGGCCUGAGGGUUGAAAAGCUCUUUUACAAGGAAUGAUAAUGACAGUACCUGAGGAAUAAGCGCCGGCGAACCCCGUG
rnacentral:rRNA from 1 species